rnacentral:rRNA from 1 species
GUCGAGAAUCUUCCGCAAUGCGCGAAAGCGUGACGGAGCGACACCGCGUGAUGGAUGAAGUCCUUCGGGGCGUAAACAUCUUUUAUAAAGGAGGAAAUUUUUGACGUUACUUUAUGAAUAAGGGGCUCCCAAUCUCGUGCCAGCAGGAGCGGUAAUACGAGAGCCUCAAGCGUUAUCCGGAAUCAUUGGGCGUAAAGGGUGCGUAGGUGGUUUGAUUAGUCUCCCGUUAAAACUUCGAGCUUAACUCGAAAAGAGCGGGGGAAACGGUCAAACUAGAGUAUGUGAGAGGUGUGUGGAACUCAUGGUGUAGGGGUGAAAUCCGUUGAUAUCAUGGGGAACACCAAAAGCGAAGGCAGCACACUAGCACAUCACUGACACUGAGGCACGAAACCUAAGGUAGCGAAUGGGAUUAGAAACCCCAGUAGUCC